UGGAGUUCCAGUUUUGGAAAUGUUUCCGAAACGCAGAAACUCUGGUGCCUUAUAGUUUCCGGCACUUCAUAGCAACUAUCUGAUGUAUGCAUUUGAAACAUGUUAGGGAAAACAUGGUAAACUGUACUAUCGGUUUUCUCCCCACCAUUUGUUAAUUAAUUCUAUUAUCUGUUAUUUGCAGAAAGCUUUAGCCAAGAACGAUG
rnacentral:misc_RNA from 1 species